GAUGAUGGACUAAUGCCUGUUGCAAUGUCUGUGUUAUCUGCUAGUCUGCAGAACUCUGAAGUGCUGGCUAACCUGGAUUCCUCUUUGCAACAUCUUUCUAAUGAUUCUUGUGUGGAACUGAAGACCUUGUUGGGUGGAGCCAAGAAAAUUCCUAACUACCUGUGCUGGUGAGGUUAUAAAAGGAGAAGAAAUGAAGACCAGAGAGAGAGAGAGAAAGACAAAGACUGAGAGAAUUGGUGGUGGAUGUAUUGUGUUGUGUAGUUGGCUGUUAUCCUUAGUGAAUUAGUGAGGUGCUGAGUAUUGUAAAUAUUGUAAAUUAUGAAUGUUAUUGCUUAUCUGUGUAGAUAAUUGUAAAUAUGGAGUGGGGUGUUUAUGUGAAUUCAAAAGAGCUGGAAGGGGGUAAGUGCCAUUUUGUUUGUAACCUUUUUCUCCUGGUUUUGUGUUUAGUUAGGGAGUCAGGAUAGAAACCUGUGUUUUGUUUCCUUUAUUUUUUGGUUAGGUUAGUAAGAGGCUUGGGUUUAAAGUUAGUGUGGGUAGUGUUUAUUAUUUUGGCCUUGCUUACCCCUGGAGAGAGAGCUUGGUUUGACUGUAUUAUUGAAUCUAUUGUAAAUAAAUUUGUAAUUGUGAAGUUCA